UAAUUCUAGUGAUUAUGUUGAAAUCAAAUUCUGAUUUUCAGUCACAGAAAACCUCAAUCCUUUUUUGCAUUAUUUCCCAAUUUUUCAAUAAUACAUUUUUUUGUAUAGUGAUUAUGUUGAGACUUCAGAUUUCCUAUAAAUUUUUCUUAUUUUCAAGAAGUCUACAACUUCAGCGUAAAUCAGGGAUUUUUUCUUUGAUCGCAGGGUGUUCGCUGAAAUGCUUGACCUAAGCAUGCAGGCGUGGGAAGCUAUCGGCUUUGAUAAACUUAUAUCCCACCACCUCUUCCAUAAGCGCCAACAUAUGAAUAACCAUUCCAAAAACGAGGUCAGCCUCGCCAAUUCCAUUAAAAAGAGCAGCAGCGGCUGGCCUAAGCUAAGCUACCAAGCAAAAGAGGAAGAAGAAGAAGAGAUGGUUUCAGUGUCAGGCAUCUGCGCCAAAAGGGUAGCGGUGAAUGCAAGGCAUCACAUUCUAGGAAGGUUGGCUUCCAUAUUGGCCAAGGAGUUAUUGAAUGGCCAAAAAUUAGUGGUGGUGAGAUUUGAAGAGAUUUGCAUGUCGGGUGGAUUAGUAGUAUGAACACUAAGCCUUCUGCUAAGAUCUCCAGCGUACCAUUCGUGGGUGUGUUUUUCUUUUCGAGGUUUAUUCAAGUGUGUUUUUGAAGUUCCUUGAAGUUCUUUAUUUGCUGAUGUGAAUGAAAAUGAUGGAAAUUUCUGGGUAUUUUACGCUUGGUAAUUUGGGAAGUGUUUAUCAUGAAUUUUUUUCCCCAAGGAUUUUUAACUAUUUAUUUGAAGUUAUAUUCUAUGGUUUGGGUAUUGGAAUAUAUCGUGAAGAACCAAAGGAAUCUCUGAGUUUUGUUAUGUUUGAUGUCAAAAUUGAUGAUUGGUAGAGUUUGGUAUUGAUUUUUUAUUAUUAUUAGAGAUCUGUGAGUUUGUUAUGCUUGGUUAUUGGGAAAAUGUAGUGAAGAAAUGAAUGAGAGUGGUAUGAGUGUGCUUGAGGUGCUAUUAUUGCUGGAUUUAGUGAAAACCAUGCAUUAGCUGAGAAGGUUAUGAAUCUUAUGGUGCAAAGGCAAUGUUUUGGCUUCAGGAUAUAUGAAGUAAAGUUUAUAACUCACCUUCUCUUUUACUUUCCUUAUGGUAAUUGAUAUAUGCUUUGAUUGCAAGAUGAUUCCUCACAAGAUCAAGCGUGGAGCAGCUGCUCUUGCUCGCUUGAAGGCUUAUGAGAGGAUUCCAGCGACAGCUCCUGAUGCUCUCAAGUGAGCUUUUGAGUAGUCGGUUUCUUUUGCGGAAUGUAGAAUUUGGUUUACUUACUUGCUUCAAUGGCUAAUUAGUAAUGUUUCCAAUGUUUUCUUCAUUCUUUCGAUUUUUUAAAUUAGGGUUUUGAGGCUUCAGAAAGGACACAAAUUGGUUGAGAAAAUAGCGUUAUCCUGGAGUAAAUAUGACAUAAAACAUUGAAUGGUUUUGGUUGAAUUGGUUAGGUUGAUGGUCCUCCUGAGAAGAAAGCCGAGCCAGAGCCCUCAUCCGAGAUUUUGACUAACCCAGCAAGAGUAGUUCCUGCUCAGGAGAAGUUCAUCAAGUUUCUAGAAGACAGCCAACAUGCACCCGUGAAGUUGGCACCAUCUGGUUUUGUUCUUAGAGACCUGCACCCUAAUGAACCGGAGGCACUGUCCCUAACCAAAGCGCUUGCAUCUGUGGCUUCUCCAGCAAGUGGAUCAGCAGCAGGUCAACAGAAUUCCCCAUCAGCUAUGGCCAUCGAUGAUGAACCUCAGCCCCCUCAACCUUUUGAGUUCACAUCCUGAUGUUGCCCGGGCUUCGGGUCGGUGAUAGUUUUUCGAGACAAACGGUGUUUUGUGCAUGGGAUGAGAGAUAUUCCCUACUUUACAUGUGUUAUAUUGAUUACCCUUUUGUGCAUGGCUUUGCAUUUCAAUUGAUGCUGCUCCAAUUGUUUUUUACUUUUCUUUUUAUUUCUAGGGAAGAAAUUGUUAUAUAAAUAAUCAUCCAUUAUUCUCAUUUUAAUUUAAGCUGAAAAUUGCAAUAUUUAUUACGAA